GUGCUCACUUUAGCACCACAUAUACUAAAAUUGGAACGAUACAGAGAAGAUUAGCAUGGUCCCUGCACAAGGAUGACAUGCAAAUUCAAGAAACAUUCCAUAUUUUU
rnacentral:snRNA from 1 species